rnacentral:rRNA from 1 species
UGGGGAAUAUUGGACAAUGGGCGCAAGCCUGAUCCAGCAAUGCCGCGUGAGUGAUGAAGGCCUUCGGGUUGUAAAGCUCUUUCGCACGCGAGGAUGAUGACGCUAGCGUGAGAAGAAGCCCCGGCUAACUUCGUGCCAGCAGCCGCGGUAAUACGAAGGGGGCGAGCGUUGUUCGGAUUUACUGGGCGUAAAGGGCGCGUAGGCGGCGCCAGAAGUCGAGUGUGAAAGCCCCGGGCUCAACCUGGGAAUGGCGCUCGAGACUCUGGUGCUUGAGUUCGGGAGAGGAGCGUGGAAUUCCCAGUGUAGAGGUGAAAUUCGUAGAUAUUGGGAAGAACACCGGUGGCGAAGGCGGCGCUCUGGACCGAGACUGACGCUGAGGCGCGAAAGCGUGGGGAGCAAACAGGAUUAGAUACCCCCGUAGUCC